UAGGAAGUGGUGUAAAGGAAGCACUGAGAGUUUUGAUCUCUCUGGCGGGGUUCGAAUCCUCUCUUUCUAA
rnacentral:tRNA from 1 species